AAGAAAGAAAUUGAAACUCAGAGACUUACCCAAGGUCACCUGGAGCAGGAGCUGGUGAACGUGUGGAUGCGGCGUGGGAGUGACGCUGGUGACUGCACAGACGAGCGCCCCUGCCACAGCUUGCUCCAAAGCACACACCCAGCCCCAGUGAUGGAGGGAACGUCCGUCACCUCCUGGCAGCUCCAGCAGGCAGGGAAAAGCCAAGAAACUUGGGGCUGGAAGUCACCUGGGGGGAGUGGGCAGCAGGAUAAAGAGUUGUGCUUAUAAAACACACAUCCAGAAACAAUGUCCCGGCCCUAGUUCCAGCUUCCCUAAGGAACUGUGCUUGUCGGCACUAAAAUAUCAUUUUAGGUAUGAGAGAGCCAGAGCCGGAGGGCGUGGGGAGGAGUAAUAAGGUGCCUUUUAAAAACACGACAUCUGUAUUUGCCCUGAAAUAUUUCAGCAAGAAAUGAAAAUAGACAGAGAAGAGAUAAAUGAAGCAAGCGUGGCAAAAUCGUGAUAGCUGUUAAAUCCAGGUGGUGGGUAUACAGCCCUCCACUUCUGUGCGUUAUGAAACUUCUAGCACAAAGAAAAAAUACAGAAAGAACAAUAAAAACUCAGCCUCUUCAUUUUAUUGUAUGUAAGGUAUACCUGAAUACCGUUAAUUUUUAGGAGUUUUAAAAUAAAAGUCAGACUACAUGGA